rnacentral:lncRNA from 1 species
GAAACCUUAUCCUCUCCAAACCUCUCCAAAUAAUUCCUGAAAUCAUCUUUAAAAGGACCUUCUUGCCUUCUAACAUGAGAAGGGUUCACUUGGUGAAAUACAGGUAGCACCCGUCUCCGCAACUCGCAAAUUCUAGAAAGAGCCUCAAGGCGGCAACAAGAAUUAGCAUAACUUGGAGAAAAAAUUACGAUUGAAGCGGCCGAGUCUUCAAUGGCCUCUAUCAAACUUAAAUCGAUCUCGUCUUCCUCACUAAUCCCGAUGUCUUCCUGGACGAACCGGACGCCGUGCUCCGUUAAUGAAUCGCAUAGAUGCUUGAUUAAGCUGCGGCUCGUGUCCUUGCCGUUGAAACUCAAGAACACGUCGCAAUUGAAUCUCGGAGCCGCGGGAUACGUCGAAGGAACGUCGUUAUCAUGCAUUCUUGGAUCGCUGCGAGUUGCACAAACAGUGGCAAGAGUUCUUGACUUCGACUUUGCUUUUGUUUGUUUAUACUCAAGUCACAAGAUCCUGUUUUGGCUGCAUUACUGUUUAGGCGAUAAAAAAUAUUUUCAAAAAUUAAUUUGAUAAUUCAUUAUGUAAUUUUCUUACCUUCUUUCCACGAAAAUUCAAUUCAAUCUCAAUUUAUUAAAAUAUUUGCAAAAAGAAAAUUGUGGAAGUUUCUUUUUUACGGCAGACUUCUGAAAAAAAAUAAAAAACGUAAAACCAUAAAACUAGAAUUAACGAACUCAUAUGCUUAAUUCCAAUAGUAUAAAAAAGGUAAACGGACAUAUAAAUCUCCACAUUUUAUUAAAAAACGCUUUGAGCAGAUUAAAAGUAUCAUUUUAUCAAGCCACAGAUCAAUAAGCUAUGAAAUAGAAAAAAGUUAAAGAGUUAUAAAUUCUAAUAUUCAUUCCAAGGAUCCAAUAAAUUUGGCCAGUUUCCAUGAUACAGACCGCUGAGAUUCAUCUAGUAACUCUUCAUCAUCAUCAUCAUCAUCAUCAUUUUCAAAAAUCAAAUAUAUUCCAUACUUCUUCAAUCUAACCCCAUUAAAAUAGGGUCUCUCUCGUACAGUUAUCUGUAUUCUAUCACCUUCAUUCAGCAUAAAGACCAGCGGUUGGAACUCCAGAAACCGACACAAGUAAAGUUGAUCCUCAUUUGUGUUAGGAACUCCCCUUAAAUUAAGUGUUUUGGUAAAUAUUGGGUCCUUAAGUCUGAAGAUCUUUGCUUGAAUGUCUACUAUAGCUGGUAGCUUAUCUCUAAAGUCAUCCCUUGAUUGUUGGUCAAGGGAAAGAACAAUACCUAUAAUUAUGCCUUUGAGGUCUAGGUUUCUAGGCGUUGAGAAUCUGGGAAUUUCCUGAACAAACCAAUCAGGAAGUGCUCUUCCUGGAAUGCUCAAAUUGAACAAGCGUUUCAAAGCAACCUGCAAUGAGGGAAAGACGAGAACUUAAGAAAAAGAAUCACUCUCAUAGUUGACUAAUGGAGCUGUUUCUAUCCAUAUACAGAGCGUUUUUGACAUUGAGGUAGAAUUUUUAUGUUGGAAAAAACAUUUGAAGCAAUGUUGAGUUGUUUCAAAAUUUUUAUGACAGGAACACAUAAAAAGUUUACCUUAAAGGGAAAUUUUAAUGACGUUUAAUCAACAGUUUUGGAAUGUUUGUUUUUUUUCAGCAAUAGUCUAAACAACAUGCCAAACAGACUACAUCGAGAGAAGUAAAAUGGCAUUCAUGUGCAUCGUGUGUCUAUGUGGAGAGAGAGAGAGAGAGAACCUUAGCAAGUCUUCGCUUGAUUGCCGGAGAACAUGCAAUGCAGCCAGUCAAGUAUAACCUCCUCAGACACUUCAAGCAUUCAAGGCCUUGGAUAUCAAUUAUUCUACUGCAAUUUGUUAGGUCAAGAUCUUGUAAACUCACUAAGUUUUCCAGAUUGCAAACACCUUCCAGUGCAGUACAAUAUGCAACAUUUAACUUGAGCACACUUGAAGGAAGCAAAGGAAGAGACUUGAGCUGUUUGCAGUGAGACAAGCUUAGAUCUUCGAGAACUGAAAGGCCUCUUAGACUAGAUGGAAGACUACAGAAGUCAUUGUGGCUCAGAUUCAAUUCUCGCAACGAUGAUAUCUUCCCAAAUUCAUCUGGAAUUUCACCAGAGAAUUUCCAGGCACAAGCAUCCAGUACUUCAAUUAAGGAGAGAUUUGACAAUGACUCUGGAAAAAGAGAGGCGGUGUUCAGUGGUUGAGAGUGUGGACUUUUUCCCAUUUUCAAUAUUGAUAAGCUUGACAACAUUCCAAUUUCAUCUGGCAAUUCUGAGACAGAAGUUUCUUUCAUCAGAAAGCACUGCAGACUUUUUAAAUUUCCAAUUGAGGCCGGCAGUCGUUGGAGUUGCUUGCACCCAUUUAAAUUUAACAUGCUAAGUCUUUCCGACGUUCCUAUGGACUCUGGCAACUCUGUAAUCAUCACAUCAUUCAAGACCAAAGUAGUUAUGCUCCACAUCUUCCCAAUUGAUUCUGGUAAAAAUUUAACCGAUGCACAGUUUCCCAUGUAAAGCUUCUCCAGCAUGCUCAAGGCUCCAACCUCAUCUGGUAUUUCUGUCAGAUAUGUGUUUUCUAAACGAAGUUCAACCAGGGAUGCUAAACCUCCAAUUGAAUCGGGCAAUUUGGUUAGAGAUUGACAAUUACCAAAGGACAAUCUCUUCAAACGAGAUAAUAAACCAACUGAAGUUGGCAAUUCUUUAAUAGAACUACCAUCAAGGAGGAGUUCAAUUAAUGAUUUAAGGUUGCUGAUAGAAUCAGGAAGUGCAUUAAGCGAUUUACACCUCAUGAGAUUCAGUUUUUCAAGGGAUGGCAGUGAUCCUACUGAAUUAGGUAUUUCUUCCACUCCUGAACCAGCAAAAGAAAGUUCUUCUAGUGAACUUAGAUUCCCUAUGUGUACAGGAACAUGUUUCAAUAGCCAACACUGUUGUAGGCUGAACCUUUCAAGUUUUUUUAGGUGGAAUAUGGAAUCAGGUAGUGUAACUAUUGCUGUCUCAUCAAUAAGAAGCUCCCUCAAACAUUUCAUGCUGCUCAUAUCGGGUAAUUUUUUUAUGUUUGAGCAACCAGAGAGAUUAAGUAUCUCAAGAUGCUUUAAUCCAGAGACAUCACUUGGAAAUUCAACAAUAUUUGAGCAUCCUCUCAAGUUCAAGUGAAGCAAUCUCUUCAAAUUCCCCACUGAUUUGUCAAUCUUAGUCAACUGACCGCAACGCUCAAGAUUCAGCUUUUCCAAGGAUUUACACCCGGAUAAAUCAGGAACAGCCACUAGACUGUAGCAACCCUGAAGAUUCAUCACCACCAAGUUCUCAGCCACCUGCAAACAAAAAUUUCUUCUGCCUUGAAAAAGAAGCAAUCAUAUGUUCAAAAAAAAGGAUAAAAAAGCACCAUCAAGGGUUGAAACUUUGCAAAAAGUUUCACAGUAAGGACAAACUUUUUAAAUGUUAUCAAAUAAAUGCAAUUAUCAGAAAAAUAGAAAAGUCAUAUUUCAAGAAAUGCCCACUUGGUCAUGGCAGAAACCACGCAUCGUGUUAGCAAACAUUUUAUUCGUACAUUCUUAUAAUGAACCAGGCUGGUAAAGCAUACCUUGUUGCUACCCCAAACCCAUACUCGUUCAAUUCCACUCUCUGAGAGAUCGAGAACAGUAAGUUUACGGGGAAAAUAAUCAUAAGGGAGAUAUUUCAAAGGACAUCCUCUCCAUUGAAGCCACUUCAGCCCUGCAGGGAUACAUUUAAACUUCCCUUCCAAUGUUGCACGAUUGAUUUGAAGCAGUCUCAGAUUAACCAUUGAUUCGAAGAAUUCAGUACUGAGUUUUGGCUCUUUCUUUUUGUCCUCUCCAUGUAGAAGACACAAAAGAAUUCUCUUGCAUAUUUCUUUCACAUAAACAAGCGCAGAAUCAAGAUUUGGUGUUGUUAGGAAGUUAUUACGGAAUGUUGCAUCAGCACUAAGAUCCUCCACUGUUUUCUUCUUACUGAAGUCAAGGAUAAUUCCUUGUACAUAUUUCGUUCCCUGAAUUCAGUCAUAUGCAGGAAAAUAUUGAUAAAUUAAGCGAGGAAAACAUGUAAAAAUAAAUAAAAAUUAGCUUUUUUCCCAAUUUAAAUAUUUACAGAAUUGGCCAAGGAAUAAGAAAACUUCAACUAAAGUUAUGUUAUCAGACCCCGCAUUUGGCUUCAAAAUACAUAGAAGAACAUGCCAGUUUAAAAACACAACAUUGAUUCAUCAUUAAUGGUACCAUGCACAUUCUUGUUUAAACCUUCCAAUCCAGAUUAUGCUAUAAUGCUGAAGAACAUCAAAACAUACGCUAUUAUGCAUUUUACAUUUUGAGUAGCUUGUUUCAUUCUCUCCAACUUUUCCUUGCUGCCUUUCAUUCAAUGAAAGAGGUAAGUAUGUGAAUGUGGUAGCAACUUUUACUCGAGUGUUACAUAGAAAACACAAAAGCAUGUGCAACAAACUCAAAGAAAUGGCAAACAUAUUAAAUUUCUUUUGUUUCUAAAAACAAUCCUUCAUGGGGGAUUUUAAAAGUCGAGAAAAAAAAAAAGAAAAAAAGAAUAGGUAACAUUUUUCACAAGUUAAUCUAUGAUGAUUUGCACCUUCUUCUGCUUCAGUACUGUCAUGAUUUCAUUGUGAUCCCAGAGUCUACUACGCAUACCAGGAUCUAAAAGGUUUUCAAGUUGAACAAUUUGCCGUCCCAUGUCUCUAAGUUGGUCAUGCAUCCACAAUGAAUAAUCUUCAGUAUCCUUAAUGAGAGAUUUUGCUGUUAGAACAGUUAUUGCUGCUUCAGCAUUAAAACCACAACCCUUUAAUAUGUCAACUGCUUCUUCUCUCUUCAUUCCAAUGUUAACAAAAAAACAUGCAAUGUCAAGGAAUACGUGCUUUUCUUCUUCAUCUAGACCAUCGAAACUUAUCCUGAGUACAUCUUGAAGGUUAUAUGGUCGAAUAUGUUGCAACUUUUUCAGGGCAUUUUCCCAUUCUUCUAUCCUCCUCAUAUGGAACAAAUAAGAACCAAACACUUCCAAAGCCAAAGGUAGUCCUCCAGUGAGAGAGACAAUUUGCUUAGACAGAUCUUCAUAGCCAUCAAUAGGUUUUUCUCUUCUUAGCGAAUGAUAACUAAAAAGUUGCAAGGCAUUUGCAGAAUCCAGCACUUUAACCUCAUAAAACUCAUCAACAAGAUAUUCAACCAAAACUUCUUUAUUUCUUGCUGUAAUAAUAAUUCGACUUCCAUCUCCGAACCAAUCUUUAUUUCCUGCAAGUGCAUUGAGUUGGCUUACCUCAUUCACAUCAUCUAAUACCAUUAGCACUCGCUUCUCAUGAAGCAUCUGUUUGAUUGCAGUGAUACCAGAACCAAUUUCAUCCGCAGAAGCCACCACAUUGGAAGAAAGGUCACGAAGGAUUUUUUUUUGAAGUGAUGUCAAGCCAUCAUGUUCUUCAGAAACUUCUCUAACGUUUAAAAUGAAACAGCGGUAUUCAAAAUGACUGAUAAGCUUAUUGUAGAGAACUUUGGCGAGAGUUGUUUUACCAAUCCCACCCAUUCCAUGAAGUCCCAGAACUUUUAUUUGAUUAGAUUUAACAUUUAACUUUCUCAUCAGCUCAUCUGCCCGAGCAUCAACUGCAACUGUAUAUGCAGCUAUUCCCACUGUUUUUCUCAAUUCCGUCAAAACCCUACUGACUAACUGCUUAAUCAAAUGCUGUUCUUUGCUGUCAGUAAAUGGAAUAAUGAGGAAUGAACACAUUAAUAUACAUAACAUAUAGAGAUAUGAAAUCAGAAAGAAUGCGACAAUCUUCUUAAGAUUAGAUAUUUUUCAUCUAUUUAUAGGCAAAGAACUAAUCAUACAAAGCUAGAAGUGAAUGGACUGAGCAUGCCAUAGAAAACAAAGACAGAAUUACAAGGAAGAAGACCUAGCUUGUACUUUGGUUUUGCAUUGCCUAGUAAAAGACCGAGUACUUGAUCAUUAGCCCUAACAAGUAACACCAACUCCAACUUGAAUGAAACAAAACAAAAAAAAAAAAACAAAAAAAAAAAAAAGGGUUGAUAUUGAUAUCACCACAAAACUACAAUUAACUACAUCAGAUGCUUUAAUGGGGAAAAAAAAUCAAGAUAGAGACUAAUCUCGACAUCUUAUUAUAAAAACCUUAGAGCAGUCACAUGGGAAUGAAACUUCCACUUCAACUUAAAAUUCCCCAACUAAGUAUUAAUAUAUCCAGCCACAAAACAAAAAGCUUUUAGACAAUUGCAAAAUGCCAUUCUUCAAGAUACUGCCGCCACCUGUUAAUUAAUAUUUCUUAAGGAUCAUGGUUAAGAAAUUUCUAUAUCCAAAAUUAUUAAGCUUUACCUCUUUCUGACAACUGAACUAACAUAAAAUGAAUAAAGAAAUAUUUUUUUAAAUAAAAAAAUAAAAGGAAAAGAAAAACCUGCUAUUGUCAAUAACGAAGCCUGAAAGGCCACCAACUUUCUUCAUCGCUCUUCUCCAUUUCGAAACCUUAUCCUCUCCAAACCUCUCCAAAUAAUUCCUGAAAUCAUCUUCAAAAGGACCUUCUUGCCUUCUAACAUGAGAAGGGUUCACUCGGUGAAAUACAGGUAGCACCCGUCUCCGCAACUCGCAGAUUCUAGAAAGAGCCUCAAGGCGGCAACAAGAAUUAGCAUAACUUGGAGAAAUAAUUACGAUUGAAGCGGCCGAGUCUUCAAUGGCCUCU